AUCGCUUCUUGGCCUUUUGGCUAAGAUCAAGUGUAGUAUCCGAAAGAUGAAUAGUUGUCUGCCACACCUAUU
rnacentral:snRNA from 1 species